rnacentral:rRNA from 1 species
UACGGAGGGUGCAAACGUUGCUCGGAAUCAUUGGGCGUAAAGCGCACGUAGGCGGACCGCUAAGUCGGAUGUGAAAUCCCCCGGCUUAACCUGGGAACUGCGUCUGAUACUGGGAGGCUAGAGUUCGGGAGAGGGAUGUAGAAUUCCAGGUGUAGCGGUGAAAUGCGUAGAUAUCUGGAGGAAUACCGGUGGCGAAGGCGGCAUCCUGGACCGGUAUUGACGCUGAGGAGCGAAAGCCAGGGGAGCAAACGGG